GAUGAACGCUGGCUGUGUGCCUAAUACAUGCACGUCGAGCGGAAGUAGCAAUACUUUAGCGGCGAAUGGGUGAGUAACACGUGCUUAAUCUACCUUUUAGAUUGGAAUACCUAAUGGAAACAUUGGUUAAUGCCGGAUACGCAUGAAAUCGCAUGAUUUCGUUGUGAAAGGGGCCUUUAAAGCUCCACUAAGAGAUGAGGGUGCGGAACAUUAGCUAGUUGGUGAGGUAACGGCCCACCAAGGCUAUGAUGUUUAGCCGGGUCGAGAGACUGAACGGCCACAUUGGGACUGAGAUACGGCCCAAACUCCUACGGGAGGCAGCAGUAGGGAAUAUUCCACAAUGAGCGAAAGCUUGAUGGAGCGACACAGCGUGCACGAUGAAGGUCUUAUGGAUUGUAAAGUGCUGUUGCAAGGGAAGAAAAAGUAGUUGAGGAAAUGCUUCUACAUUGACGGUACCUUGUUAGAAAGCGAUGGCUAACUAUCCA
rnacentral:rRNA from 2 species